GCCGGGCAUGGUGGGGCAUGCCUGUAAUCCCAGCUACUCAGGAGGCUGAGGCAGGGAAUUGCUUGAACCCAGGAGGCAGAGGUUGUAGUGAGCUGAGAUCAUGCUACUGCACUCCAGCCUGGGUGACAGAGCAAGACUCUGUCUCAA
ensembl:misc_RNA Metazoa_SRP Metazoan signal recognition particle RNA